UACGGGGGAUGCGAGCGUUGUCCGGAUUCACUGGGCGUAAAGGGCGCGUAGGCGGUCCGGUCAGUCGGCGCUCUAAGUGCGGGGCUCAAUCCCGUGAUGGCGCUGGGACGGCCGGGCUGGGGCGCGGCAGAGGGAGACGGAAUGCCGGGUGUAGUGGUGAAAUGCGUAGAGAUCCGGCGGAACACCGGUGGCGAAGGCGGUCUCUUGGGCCGAGGGCCGACGCUGAGGCGCGAAAGCCAGGGGAGCGAACGGG
rnacentral:rRNA from 1 species